AUGGUUAAAGAUUUAUUGGAUUCGGAUGGGGCUGCGUGCCAUUAGCUAGUUGGGGAGGUAACGGCUCACCAAGGCGACGAUGGCUAGGGGAGCUGAGAGGCUGGUCCCCCACACGGGCACUGAGAUACGGGCCCGACUCCUACGGGAGGCAGCAGUAGGGAAUAUUGGGCAAUGGCCGAGAGGCUGACCCAGCCAUGCCGCGUGCAGGAUGAAGGCCUUCGGGUUGUAAACUGCUUUUGUACGGAACGAAACGGUUCUUUCUAAUAAAGAGGGCUAAUGACGGUACCGUAAGAAUAAGCACCGGCUAACUACGUGCCAGCAGCCGCGGUAAUACGUAGGGCGCAAGCGU
rnacentral:rRNA from 1 species